CGUGCGGCGGCAUAUACAUGCAGUCGAGCGAACAGAAGGGAGCUUGCUCCCGGAUGUUAGCGGCGGACGGGUGAGUAACACGUGGGUAACCUGCCUGUAAGACUGGGAUAACUCCGGGAAACCGGAGCUAAUACCGGAUAGUUCCUUGAACCGCAUGGUUCAAGGAUGAAAGACGGUUUCGGCUGUCACUUACAGAUGGACCCGCGGCGCAUUAGCUAGUUGGUGGGGUAAUGGCUCACCAAGGCGACGAUGCGUAGCCGACCUGAGAGGGUGAUCGGCCACACUGGGACUGAGACACGGCCCAGACUCCUACGGGAGGCAGCAGUAGGGAAUCUUCCGCAAUGGACGAAAGUCUGACGGAGCAACGCCGCGUGAGUGAUGAAGGUUUUCGGAUCGUAAAGCUCUGUUGUUAGGGAAGAACAAGUGCGAGAGUAACUGCUCGCACCUUGACGGUACCUAACCAGAAAGCCACGGCUAACUACGUGCCAGCAGCCGCGGUAAUACGUAGGUGGCAAGCGUUGUCCGGAAUUAUUGGGCGUAAAGGGCUCGCAGGCGGUUUCUUAAGUCUGAUGUGAAAGCCCCCGGCUCAACCGGGGAGGGUCAUUGGAAACUGGGAAACUUGAGUGCAGAAGAGGAGAGUGGAAUUCCACGUGUAGCGGUGAAAUGCGUAGAGAUGUGGAGGAACACCAGUGGCGAAGGCGACUCUCUGGUCUGUAACUGACGCUGAGGAGCGAAAGCGUGGGGAGCGAACAGGAUUAGAUACCCUGGUAGUCCACGCCGUAAACGAUGAGUGCUAAGUGUUAGGGGGUUUCCGCCCCUUAGUGCUGCAGCUAACGCAUUAAGCACUCCGCCUGGGGAGUACGGUCGCAAGACUGAAACUCAAAGGAAUUGACGGGGGCCCGCACAAGCGGUGGAGCAUGUGGUUUAAUUCGAAGCAACGCGAAGAACCUUACCAGGUCUUGACAUCCUCUGACAACCCUAGAGAUAGGGCUUUCCCUUUCGGGGACAGAGUGACAGGUGGUGCAUGAUGUCGUCAGCUCGUGUCGUGAGAUGGUGGGGUAGUCCGCAACGAGCGCAUCAUGGAUCUAGGUGGCAGCAUUUAGCUGCACUCUAGCUGAACUGCGAUGACAAUGGAGGCAGGUGGGGGAUGAACGU
rnacentral:rRNA from 1 species